UACGAAGGGGGCUAGCGUUGCUCGGAAUUACUGGGCGUAAAGGGCGCGUAGGCGGACAGUUUAGUCAGAGGUGAAAGCCCAGGGCUCAACCCUGGAAUUGCCUUUGAUACUGGCUGUCUUGAGUACGGGAGAGGUGUGUGGAACUCCGAGUGUAGAGGUGAAAUUCGUAGAUAUUCGGAAGAACACCAGAGGCGAAGGCGACACACUGGCCCGUUACUGACGCUGAGGCGCGAAGGCUAGGGGAGCGAACGGG
rnacentral:rRNA from 1 species